rnacentral:rRNA from 1 species
UGCCAGCANHMGCGGUUACACAACUAUCUAAAGAUUAACUAUUAGGUUAUAUGGUGUAUAUACGUACUAGGAGAAAUAAAUGAGAGGAUAAAGGUAUAAUUUAUCAUAUCUUUUGUUUAUUCGGUUCUUCUUAAGUGUUGUUAACCAUGAAAGUUUCUUGUAGGACUAGGAUUAGAGACCCUAUUACUAGUAACCUUAAAUAAAAAAUACCAGGGUAUUACGGGAAGCUGACUUAAAACCUAAAGAGCUUGGCGGCUUUUUAUAAAACCAGGGGAGCUUGUCAUGUAAACGAUGAUCCGCGUUAAAUUCUACCUUCCCUAGGAUUCAGUUUGUAUACCUCCGUCUAAAGUUAACCUUGAUAAAAGAAAAGUAGUUAGCGUGAGAAAGUAUUUUCUUUACGUCAGGUCAAGGUGCAGCUUAUGGGAAGGAAUGGGUGAGCUACUUUACUAUUAGUGAAUGGUCUCGUUAGCUAAAGCUAAGGAGUAAACAGUACUUGGUAGUAAUUUUGUUUUAAAAUGACAAGAUGAAAUUAUCAUUAAAAAGUGCACAAAUCGCCCGUCGAUCCUCCCUAAAGGGAGGAUAAGUCGUAACACAGUA